GACGAACCGUGCGAACGUUGUUCGGAAUCACUGGGCUUAAAGGGCGCGUAGGCGGGCUGGUAAGUCAGGGGUGAAAGCCCACGGCCCAACCGUGGAAGUGCCUUUGAUACUGCCAGUCUGGAGGGAGGUAGGGGCGUGCGGAACUUCCGGUGGAGCGGUGAAAUGCGUAGAUAUCGGAAGGAACACCGGUGGCGAAAGCGGCACGCUGGACCUCUACUGACGCUGAGGCGCGAAAGCCAGGGGAGCAAACGGG
rnacentral:rRNA from 1 species